rnacentral:misc_RNA from 1 species
CAGUUUUUGAGCCAAUUCGACGCAAGACGAAUUAGUUUACAUAUUUACUGCAAUCUCAACACGAACUGAGCACAUAAAGAAAUACAUUAUGGCUAGCGCCGUGCCAACGAUUAAAUUAAAUAGUGGUCACAGCAUUCCCAUCAUCGGUUUGGGCACCUGGAAUAGCCCUCGUGGUGAAGUGGUGCAGGCUGUUAAAACUGCCAUCGAUGUUGGAUAUCGUCACAUUGAUUGUGCCUUCGUCUAUGAGAACGAGGCUGAAGUCGGCGAUGGCAUCGAGGCCAAGAUAAAGGAAGGCGUUGUUAAGCGCGAGGAUUUGUUCAUCACUAGCAAGUUGUGGAAUACUUUCCACCGUCCCGAUUUGGUGAAGGGUGCUCUUGAAAAUACAUUGAAACUGUUGAAGCUUAAGUAUCUAGAUCUGUACUUGAUCCACUGGCCAAUGGGUUUCAAGGAGGGCAACGAUCUGUUCCCAGUCGACGAGAAAGGCCAAACUCUGUAUUCGCCCGACGAUUACGUGGACACCUGGAAGGAGAUGGAGAAACUGGUUGAGGCAGGCCUAGUCAAAUCAAUUGGCAUUUCCAACUUCAAUAAAAAUCAAAUUGAACGAAUCUUGGCGAUUGCCAAAAUUGUGCCAGCCACAAAUCAGAUUGAAUGCCAUCCCUAUCUAACCCAGAAGAAACUGUGUGAUUUCUGCAAAUCGAAGAAUAUUACCAUAACAGCUUACAGCCCGUUGGGCAGUCCGAAUCGUCCAUGGGCCAAACCGGGUGAUCCAGUUAUCCUGGAGGAAGAAGCUAUUAAGAAAAUCGCUCAGGCCAAGAAUAAGACACCUGGCCAAAUUCUGAUUCGUUAUCAGGUGCAGCGCACCAACAUUGUUAUACCAAAAUCGGUGACCAAGGAACGCAUCGAAUCAAACUUCAAAGUCUUCGAUUUCGAGCUGACACCCGAGGAAAUCAAAAUCAUUGAGAGUUUUGAGUGCAAUGGUCGUCUGGUGCCACUGAUAAAAGAGGCUGGCAGUCAUAAACACUAUCCAUUUCAUGAAGAAUAUUAAAUUAAAUCUCAAGAAAUCUUAUUUUAUCCAUAUGGGAAACCUGAACUAGAAAUUGAAUUAUGAUAGUAGUUAAGUAAAUAUUUACGUCAAAACUAAGAACCAGCAACCUGAGAAGCACAGACUCACCACGGUCAUCCUCACCAUCCGUUCGUAAAUGAUGAAUACUAAAUGGAGCUUAAUGUUUACAACUGUUCUACGCUAUUAAUCCCAUAUUUAUGUACUUAUGGUACAAUGAAAAUGAAAAAAGAUAAUGGAAAUAUAUAUAUAUACAUAUAAACAUAAAUAUGUUAUCAUAAUUAUGAUUCUAAAAUACUGUGAACUCAAAUAAACAAGCUUUGUCUUCGAAA